GAAUUGUGUAGCAUUUGCACUGGAAUUCAAAUCUUACCAAAAUGAUUUUCAAACUAUUGCUUUCUAUCGUCUUGUUUGCUUAUGCAACUUCCGGCGAACCACAGAUUUCAGAGGUUAACACUCCCGCGAUGCCUACAACACCUGAGAUGCCUGAAACACCUGAUAUGCCUGUAACUCCUGCGAUGCCCGGAAUGCCAGGACUAGGUAGCAUUUCCGAUCGAGUUUCAAAUCGGUUCAACUAAUAGGUACCCAGAUGAAAGGUUAAAACAAUAUCACCUGAAUUGAUCUAAUUAAGUGGUUUCGAUCAAACUUUUCAAUAAAAAUUAUCGAGAUCAAACAUUCAAGCAUGUUUUAAACUUUAA